CUUCCACUUCCCGAGCAUCGCUCUGAUUCAUUGUUAAAAUAAAGAGGCCAUGACCCUGGCACUCCCACCCCGGCAGCCCCUGUGCGUGGAAAUCCAGCCAAGGUCUGAUGAUGGAGGAGCCUUGGCCCUGGCUGUCCCAGGGGAGGAGGUGAAAUUCCUCAGCUCUCCACCAAGAUUGGCAACAAAAGCCUGAUCCCUGGAACACACCAGGCCUCACCUAGAGGUUCAGCCAUUGGAUUAUAGGAACUGCCCUGGCCUGACUCACCCAAUAUGGAGGAGGUGCCUGGGGAUGCCCCCUGUGAACACUUCGAGGCCAACAUGCUUACCCAGAACCGCCGUCAAAACUGCUUCCACCCUGAGGAGGCCCACGGAGCAAGAUACCAGGUGAGCCAGUUUUCCACGUGGUUGAGGUGGUUUGGGAUGGGGGCAUGGGUGAAGGACUGGGCCUGUGGUGUCUGCUUACUCACA